rnacentral:lncRNA from 1 species
GGGUAGUGUAUUCAACCCAAAUUUAUUGAUUCGACAUAAGGGGAGCCAAAGAAUAUUCUCGAGCAUUAGGAAUUGAGUUGUCAAUUCAAUCACACGUGAAAUACUUAAUAUCUGCAGCAAAGUAUUUAAUAGCAAAGUAGUAUGGAAGUAGCGGUAACGGUAGCAAACGUUACAGUAGCAGUUUUGUAGUGAUUGUAACAAUAGAAACGGAAAAGUAAUUUAGCAAAGAACAAUAUUGGAAAAGCUCGUAGGCAAUGGAUCAGUGAUGGAUAACUAUGUUGGACGACUUUCAUCAUGCAACAGUCAUAACAUAGGGUGAUAGAGAACUAGCUCCAAUUAAUCAAUGUAAUGUAGGCAUGUAUUCCAUAUAUAUUCAUACGUGCUUAUGGAAAAGAACUUGCAUGAUAUAUUUUGUCCUACCCUCCCAUGGAAGCGUGGUGCUAAUGGAAACUAAGGGAUAUUAAGGCCUCCUUUUAAUAGAGAACCGGACCAAAGCAUUAGCACUUAGUGAAUACAUGAACUCCUCAAACUACGGUAAUCACCAGAAAGAAUCCGAGUUAUUGUCACCCUGGGGGAUGUGAAUCGUAACUCGUAAUAGGUGUCUAUAACUUGCAAGAUAGGAUCAAGAACACAUAUAUAUUCAUGAAAACAUAAUAGGUUCAGAUCUGAAAUCAUGGCACUCGGGCCCUGGUGACAAGCAUUAAGCAUAUCAAAGUCAUAGCAACAUCACUCUUAGAACAUAGUGGAUAUUAGGGAUCAAACCCUAACAAAACUAACUCGAUUACAUGAUAGAUCUCAUCCAACCCAUCACGGUCCAUGUGGGGACCCCGACUUACGAGUCGAGAUUGCCGAAUGAACGUGCUCAGUGAUCCCAUAGA